AUGUGUUCCAGGUUCCUGGUUUUAAGCUAAAUAUGCAUCAGUUAUCUCUGAUCAGGGGAAACAGAGGGCGGGUAAGUACUUCCACCUUCUCUGUGUGUUCUAAGUUCCUUAAAAAACUGACCUGGAAAUUAACUUAUAAUUUUAGCAUUUGAGAGGAAACUUGAUUUUAGAAGAAUAAUUAACUGGUUUACAUAACCCUUUAUUUAACUUGCUUACAUAAUGUGUGUAACACCUUGAAAGUAGUGGCAUGUGUUUCCAAUUCACUCUGAAAGAAUAUGAAAACAGCUAUCUUGUGAAGAAAAGUACAAAAAUUAUACCACAAAUUAUGAUCUUAAAGGAAGCCU
rnacentral:lncRNA from 1 species